rnacentral:rRNA from 1 species
GUGGGGAAUUUUGGACAAUGGGCGAAAGCCUGAUCCAGCAAUGCCGCGUGCAGGAUGAAGGCCCUCGGGUUGUAAACUGCUUUUGUACGGAACGAAAAGCUCUGGGCUAAUACCCCGGAGUCAUGACGGUACCGUAAGAAUAAGCACCGGCUAACUACGUGCCAGCAGCCGCGGUAAUACGUAGGGUGCAAGCGUUAAUCGGAAUUACUGGGCGUAAAGCGUGCGCAGGCGGUUUUGUAAGACAGUGGUGAAAUCCCCGGGCUCAACCUGGGAACUGCCAUUGUGACUGCAAAGCUGGAGUGCGGCAGAGGGGGAUGGAAUUCCGCGUGUAGCAGUGAAAUGCGUAGAUAUGCGGAGGAACACCGAUGGCGAAGGCAAUCCCCUGGGCCUGCACUGACGCUCAUGCACGAAAGCGUGGGGAGCAAACAGGAUUAGAUACCCGGGUAGUCC